ensembl:lncRNA
AAGAAGGGGUAUCUCACCCUUCCUCUCUGCCCCGCUGCCUGCUGAUCCUAUGAGGAAGUGAUCUCAGGCUACGUAUAAAACAAGAUUUGGAGGACGAAGCCCUCAUGGGCAGAAGAGGAGACUGAAGCCCCAACCUUUUCUAUGCAACACAAGCCAGAAUACGGCGGGAAAGAAUCUGAAAAGACGAGUCUUUACACUUGGAAGAAACCUUGGUUAUGGUUACUUGCACAUGGUGUUGACUGGAAGCAAGCAGAAGGCAAUCCUACCCAAAUUUUGAGGGAAUUAUCUUGCCAAAGAGACUGCAGUUUUCUCGGAGACCAGCUGAUCUCUCCAUGCAGGAGCCUGCUUUAUCAUGGGCCCAGGCACCUCUGGCCCAGCCCUGUGCUUCUCGGAAAUGCACCUUUCUGCCCUGGCCUGCUGAGCUGGGCCCUGGAGCUCACCUGGUUAGCCUCCCGAUAGUCCUGUGUGUGCGGAGUGGAGGACGGGAGGGGGCGGUGCUCGGCCGAAGACCCCCAGCCCCAGAGGGGAUGGAGUUGGGCGCAGUCCUCCCAUCUCAGGGCUCCCCGUCACGUGCGCACAACCUCUGGGGCCAGCAUGACGGAAAGAAGGGACGUUUGUGAAAGAGUGCGCAGAGGUGAGGGCUCACAACCCCGAUGCUGGCCCCUGAUUCCCACUCAGUCUGCCUCCUUCCAGGGGGACAGGGAAGGUUCUGACAAGACAAGGGGGAAAGCAACUUUGGGUGUGAGCAGCACACGACCGGAGUGCAUUCUGAUCAGGCCAGUGACCACCUGUGUGACCGUGAACAUGCCCAUUACUUCUGGGGGUGGCAGUCUCCUUAUCUGUCACAGUGACACCUACCGCCUGGGGUGGCUGCGAAGCAAGAUGAGGAGAUAAUAUAAACUUUCCCAUCAUGCUGGCAUGCAUCAGCGUCGAUUCUUGUCUUAGGCUGAUCCAUGCGAACUGCUCCAUCUUAGUGGUUUUAUGCAAUUGUUUAUUUCUUAUUUGUGUUGCAAUCUCCUGGCACCCGAGUUGCCCUGCCCCGUCUUCCAGCCACUCUGUCUGUGGUCUCCAAGCAGCGAAGAGAGACAUGGAGGAUAUUUCUAAGGGCCAGGCUGCAAGUAACAGACAUCACUUCUGCCCAGUUCCAUCGCUGGAAGUUGUCAACGGCACAGCCACACCGCAGGAGGAGAGCUGGGCAACGACCCUCACCUUGUGCCCGAGGGAGGGAGUGCCCUCUCGGCUAGGAUACUGGCCGGGUCCUUGGUCUACUGUGUGAUUCUCUCUACAUGGUUCAGCCUCUCCAGCCCUCCGCAUCCCCACUGUAGAUGGAGCUGAGAGCACCAGGCUUAUUAUUAUGGAGUUGACAUAAGGACUUUCCAAGUGCCGAAGGCAGGGAGGAUGUUUGGUGAAUGAUAUUUUUCCUUCUUUUUUUCACCCAACAGUCCUCCUCCUCUGCCACCUCCUUCUUGCCUCCCUUCUUAGCGCGUCUGUCCUGCUCUCUCCUUGCUUUGCCUGCAGUGAGCUCCUGGGCUGCAGGCCCUGGACCCGCCUGUUUUAAAGCAGAGGGUGCAAGUUACCAGAGCAAACCUGGAGGGCGGAGGUGGGGAUGCGGAGAGGGUGGCUGGAGCCACACACCUGCUCCCCGACAUAAAUCUU